UACGGGGGGAGCAAGCGUUGUUCGGAUUUACUGGGCGUAAAGGACGCGUAGGCGGCCAGCACAAGUCAGUUGUGAAAUCUCCGAGCUUAACUCGGAAAGGUCAACUGAUACUGUGCGGCUAGAGUGCGGAAGGGGCAACUGGAAUUCUUGGUGUAGCGGUGAAAUGCGUAGAUAUCAAGAGGAACACCUGCGGCGAAGGCGGGUUGCUGGGCCGACACUGACGCUGAGGCGCGAAAGCGUGGGGAGCGAACAGG
rnacentral:rRNA from 1 species